UACGGGUGGGCGAAGCGUUGUCCGGAAUUAUUGGGCGUAAAGCGCGCGCAGGCGGUUCUUUAAGUCUGGUGUCUAAGUGCGGGGCUCAACCCCGUGUCGCACUGGAAACUGGGGAACUUGAGUGCAGAAGAGGAGAGCGGAAUUCCACGUGUAGCGGUGAAAUGCGUAGAGAUGUGGAGGAACACCAGUGGCGAAGGCGGCUCUCUGGACUGUAACUGGACGCUGAGGCGCGAAAAGCGUGGGGAGCAAACAGG
rnacentral:rRNA from 1 species